rnacentral:rRNA from 1 species
AUACGUAGGUGACAAGCGUUAUCCGGAUUUACUGGGCGUAAAGGGCGUGUAGGCGGUCUUGCAAGUCAGAAGUGAAAUUCCUGAGCUCAACUCGGGCGCUGCUUCUGAAACUGCAGGACUUGAGUGCUGGAGGGGAUAGCGGAAUUCCUAGUGGAGCGGUAAAAUGCGCAGAUAUUAGGAAGAACACCGGUGGCGAAGGCGGCUAUCUGGACCGUAACUGACGCUGGGGCGCGAAAGCGUGGGGAGCAAACGGGAAGAGAUCCCCUGGUAUUCCACGCCGUAAACGAUGAAUACUAGGUGUAGGGGGUAUCGACUCCCUCUGUGCCGCAGUUAACACAAUAAGUAUUCCGCCUGGGGAGUACGGCCGCAAGGUUGAAACUCAAAUGAAUUGACGGGG